CAGUAAAUAGUUUAUUUAAAAUAUUAAUUUUGGAUAUUAAAGAUGUUUUUCUUUACUGA
rnacentral:tRNA from 1 species